rnacentral:rRNA from 1 species
UACAGGGGGUGCAAACGUUGCUCGGAAUCACUGGGCGUAAAGCGCACGUAGGCGGAUCGUUAAGUCAGGGGUGAAAUCCUGGAGCUCAACUCCAGAACUGCCUUUGAUACUGGCGACCUUGAGUUCGGGAGAGGUGAGUGGAACUGCGAGUGUAGAGGUGAAAUUCGUAGAUAUUCGGCGGAACACCAGUGGCGAAGGCGACUCACUGGCCCGAUACUGACGCUGAGGCGCGAAAGCGUGGGGAGCAAACAGG